CCGCAAAUAGCGCGGCCCUCCAAGCAAUCGACGCUACCACCAAACUAACUCAAACCCCGAUCCUCCUUGACAUCUGGAACCUCCUCUUGGCUCUAAAAGCAUCCGGCACUCAGACAUACCUCACUUGGAUCCCAAGCCACAUCGGGAUCACUGGAAGCGAAUCAAACGACCUUACAUUCAUGUCAAGCCUCUUGAGCGCGGCCAGUUGAAGAAUUGGAAAUUGAGCACGGCCAGCAGCUAAGGAUCGAUACUCUUUUCGAGUGCUGCCUCAUCGCUUGUGCUCUUUACGAUGAGUACUGGUUGUUGUACGCUCAGCACCUAGAAUCGCGAUGGAACGAUGAAUUGGACAAUCGUCCUCUGAUUGAGAAACAGCUACGCAGCGUGUACCGACGAGCUUGCACCGUUCAUGCUGUCUACGACAAGACGACGCUUUACCUUAUGUGGUCCAAUUUUGAAGUAAGGCCAGUUAGUUUUAGUUUAAUUAAUUCCAGUGUUGAAGAAAUUUACCGAGCAGCAGAUCGUUUAAAGCAGGAAGUUGGAAAAGUAUCAAUCUUGGUCAAUAACGCCGGUGUGGUUACGGGUAAAGCGCUACUUGAAUGCUCCGAUGAACUUAUCCAGCGCACUUUUGACG